ensembl:lncRNA
GAGUCAGCCUUGCACCAGGGCGCUGAGGUUACCACUCUGACCCAGGGGCUGGAAAUUCACCUCCCUGGGACUGUCCUCAUACCACUGGUGGCACAUCCACCAGUAAUUCACUGAGAGCUGCAACAACAACGAACAGAAACGCAGCAGAAAAUCCAAAGUGAAAUCGGGGAACCUUGGGCUGAGGACAUCAGUUACGUGACAAGGACAUUUUCGCUCCUGCAUCACCUGAGAUUGCUACAGGCCACCAGCCCGUGGCACUCUACUUCAGUUGUUCCUCUCCUGGGAUGGAAUUUUGGCUCCAUUAAGUCUACGGCAAACUCUUGGUUGACUUCUCCGGGGCCACAAUGCUCAGCUGGAGGAGGUGAAGCUCAGGGAAGGCAGCAGCAUCACAAGUCCAUCUCAUCACAGCCAGGCACCCCUAUCGCACACGUAGCCCAACUGCACGGACCGAUCCAAAAGUUGGAGUGUUCAAAUGUUCUGAAAUAGUGUUUCUAGGAACGCCCAGCAACUUGCACCUAAUCCCAGCACACUCAAACAUCAGAAAGCCCACAGUUUUUUAUUGUCUUCUGGGAUUUCAGAAUGGUGUAGAACACAUUUUUAUAAGUGGGAUCUAAGUGAUGGUGGUUUUCCUGACCAUGAAGCUAAUUGAAGUAAAUAGUUUAACCACAGUUUUUAUUAUUUCGAAACAGUUAUAAACUUUGAAUACAAGCAUUUCUUUCUGCUCUAACCUCAGGCUUUUCCCUUAGCCCCUUUUGGUGCUUGGUUAUUUUAACGUUGUCUUCUCUUACACAAGAUCUCUGCUUUAUAUUCAUGAAAGAGAAAUCAAUAGCUGUUUUCUUGACUUUCCAUUGAAAUAAUCCAUAUGGGGGUUCAGCUGUGAUCACACUUUCAGUAUGAGAUCUCCUCUGCGUGGCGGCAGCAGUAUGCAAACCUCAGCAGACAUCUCUGCAUUUCCAUCAUUCAGAACUCCUCGCUGCACAGUGCUAUCACCAUUGCACUUCACACAAAAAAGGUCAGAGAAUUGUUUCCUAAAGAGAAAACAAAAAGGAUUAAAAUAUGAACUGUCAGUAGGAGUGCAGCAAACCCCGCAGGUUUCCAUUGCACAGAUGUGCUCCCGCAAAGAUGGGCGAACAGCGCAGCCCGGCUGACACGGUGCAGGCAGGAGGCACAGCAGCACUGCCUCGUGCAGCCUUCCUGCCUGCCUUGCUGUGCAUCUCCUUUCUGCGCAGGCAUGAAAGCAUGGCUGCUGGUUUGGGGACCUCCUGUCACGGCCCUGUCAGCACAGAUGUGCAGGAGUUGCCUGGCGCGGGGCUCUGCUGAAGGCCGAAUGCUGCAGGCAAUGCCGCGCUCCUCCUUUAGCUCUGCUCCCACGCAGAGGCCAAAUACAGCUCCUGAAUCAAAAGCGACACGGGAGAUGACUUCCCCUGCAGUCAGAAAGCAGCUCUGCGGGGGGUUGGCCAUGCUGAACCUGUGUCAUCCAUGCCACCCAAAUUGCUGAGCCUCUGCCCAUUGUGCGAGCUCUGAAAGCAUGACGCUGCAC